AACAGUAACAGAUUGUUUGUUUUCCAUUCACAUGAUAUAUACCACGGCUUUCAGCCAAUCUGCAUUCAGCCAUUUUCAGCCAAUCCGCAUUCAGGCCCUCAAACAUCACAAACUAUAAUAUUCUGUGACUCCAUUCUCACCUCUAGGUAUUGUGUUGAAUCGUUUUUUAACUGUUUUAUUUGUUCUGUCUCCCUCUUCCCAGUGUUUCCUCCCCCGAGGAACUUCUCGUUGCCUCCAUUACUAAACACCUCCAGUACUGUUGACCCUCAGCCCCUCCCUCCCUCUCCCCCCACCAAAUCCCAGGAUGUGACCAGCAGGCCGAGCCUGCCCCAACCAGAUCCCAGCCCCCCUGACCUUAGCCCCCAGCCAGGCCGGAGCGGGAUACCCAGGGUCAGUUUCCGAGAGCCAAUCAGUUGCAGCUACUCUGUGGAUGAAGAUGAGGAGGAGGAGGAGGAGGAAGAGGAGGAGGAUGAAGAUAGACGAGAUGGGGAUGAAGAACAUGCAGAGGGGGAGGAAGAAGAUGGAGGUUUUGGAUGCAGGUUACAUAUGCAAAAGGGCAUUCCACCUCAAAUGGACCUGCUGGAUGGUUCCUACCAACAUCGCAGUUUACGGCGCGGGUGGAACCGUGGCCGUGUGCCCUCCCACUCUACUCUCCACCCUGGCACAGAGACACGCUUUCGUCACUCUCGUUCUGACCGGCCCCAUCUGGACGCUCUAGAAUGGAGAGGAGGGAGGGAGAGGACGUCCCUCUCGUCCCCAGGCAGCUUAGAGCCACCGUCACUCAGCCUCCAGCCGGCACAGGACAAUAAACACGAGGACUCCUGCUCCACAUGCUCCUCCUCCUCAGACUCUGAGGAGGAGGGUUACUUCCUGGGACAGCCCAUUCCCCUCCCACCCCAGCUAACCCGAAGGCCAAGGUCUGUGGAUGGAGAGCGGGAGGGCGAGGGGGAUGAAGACCGAGAAGGAGAGAAGCGCAUGGGGUUGAGAAACAGCCUGAGAAGAAGGAGGGCAAAUAGCCUUGGUGCAAAGGACAAAGACAAAAACUGUGCCAUCUCCUAACUUUGACCCUCACAGAGGAAGUUCUGUUUUCAACACAUUAAAAACCAGUGCCCUGUAUCACAAAAAUAAAUCUGUAGCAUGAAUUAGAAUUUCUUUGAAAAAUGAGAAUCACAACACUAAUUUACUGAAUAAUUUAAAGACAGCCUGAACUGAGACACUGAAACACAGACAUGUUGUUUUGUGUUUGUAAAUUGUUUCGGCCACUAUUUUGCACAGCAGAAUGAAAUAAGCAUCUGUCUAGGACGUUCUGGAAGCUUCUCAAAGACAACGUUACUGUGAGCCCUUAGUGCAUGUUAAGAACAAGCAGGAUGUUCUCUAGGAGCUCUUACAUUCCAGUAUACAUGUAAGCAUUUGUUGUCAAGUUAUUGUGACUGAUCAUUGUAUUUUUAAACAAGACCAUAUAUAAGAGGACUUAAGAAUCAGCUGUUCUUUGGCCCUUUUUCAAAUUCAACAUACUGAAAGUUUUUUUAGCAAGAGGGGUAGUGGUUUUUCUCAACCACAUCAUUCCACCAAGCCAAUGUAGAUAUAAAGGUUAUGCUUUUAGCCAAUGGUUGGUCACCAUCCUUCUAUUUUCCUCAUUGGCAUUGUUACCAUUAUUAACCUCUGGGACAAGAAGGAGUACCAAAAAGUGUGUCAGUGCUUUGUACACAAUGACGUGGGCUGAAUGUUGGUUUGUGCAGUGUGUUUUUAUGUAUCUUCUAGAGGUUUCCAUCUUGAUAUAUAGCAUCCCUAGGUGAUUGUAUGAUAUGUUCAGAAAAAGAAAUGUGUAUAUUUUUAGAUCUGUUUUAUUACUUUUAAGUCCUGUUAAUAUUUUUUAUACUCUUGGGUGCUGGUUCCUGUUUUUCAGUGUUUUUCUUUUGUUAAAUAUAAAACACUAUUCAAUCAAAUUUUCACCUUUCUGAAACUACUAGAAAAAAAGUUUCAUAAAUUCCUUAAUAGGAUAAAUACAUUUGUUGAAAAGGACUCUUUGCUUUCAUUUAUUAUUAAAUCGAUUGAAACUACCAUUGUCACAUGACAGAAGUACCCAGUCCACUUCCGUAGUGAUUGGUCUGAGUACCAGUCAGGUGGGGGAGGGAGGAGCACACAAGCAGUCUGACAGGUUUGGCUGGUCGGUUGCCACCCCUUCCAUUCUGGAACUGUUUCACACUAUACAGUAAAAUUCUGCAGUUCUUGUCCUCUGUUGUGGUGUCCUGGGCUAUGAGAGGCCCAGAGUUUCACUGGGGAGCUGUAAGAUUCAACUUCCAUUCUAAAGGUGAGUCGUCAUUAUAGCGUAAAGCCAAAGUAAAUGUGAGGUUGUCUAAGUAACCAAAGUCUUCAAGCAAACAGAACUGAAUAACUUGCAUUAAAUGUCUGGGUAGUCUUAAAAGACAAGAGUGUGUAUGUGUGUGGUUUCUGUUUCAUUAAUUCACCUGGCAGAUGUUCCAUUUGUCUCUUUUUGUCAUUAACUUCCUGGUUCAACCAAUGGUGUUAGGUGUAUUUUUUUCUUCCUGAACGGAACAAGCUGAGACAUGACACUGGGUUGAAGUAGAACAAUCUGUUUUCUUAGUUUUACAUUACGUUGCAUACCUUUGUGUGUUCAGUGUUGAACUAAGACUAAUAAAACAAUGCUUUAUUGACCAUUAAAUUAUACUGUGUGUACAGUAGGAGUGUAGGAAGAUGAAAAGAUAGGGAAUUGAAGGUAAGAGGGAAGUUAACCAUGAGAGCUAUAUUGCCUGUAUAAGCUUGGUCUCACAAGGUGGAUUGUAUGUUCUUUCUGUAGAUUUUUGCUUUGUCCAAUAAGAUUGCACUUUGCCAAUUGGAUCCAUUUUUAGAAGUUAAUCAUAUACUUAACAUUCCUAAAGUUAGCAUUUGCCAGAAGGGCCAGACACAUGCAACCUUUGCCUGACCCAACUCUUUGGAAACCCAAGUUAAUGUUUACAUAAAUAUAGUCAUAAAUAUGAUCUUCAGUAAAUGUACAGGUAUUUUUUUUUGGUUGCAUUAUUUGUGCUUUUCAAAGCUAAACAAUAUAAAAACACAUUCAUGAUAAGUCCACUAUCACCUACAUGGUUCAAGGGCUAUGGUUUCAGAGAUAUAAAAAACAACAUACAAGUCUGGGGUCUGCAGUCAAGGAAACCUAGCACAACCCCCUACCAACUGGGAGCUUUAUUUAAAGAUAGGGUGGCAUUGUUCUGCUCUAACAGCUGUUGCUGCAUGUGAUAGGCUCUGUCUGAGUAUUCGUCUAAACAAUAGAUAAUUGACAACUGUGGAGACCCCCACCAUUUUCUUUAGUCCUGUCUUAAUCUCCGUCUUCACUUGCCUCACAGUGAAUGAAAAUGAAGUGUGUGAGUUUAUUGUGCGUUAGUCUUUAGAUCAAGGGGGUGGAGGAUGACAUUGUUCUAAAAUGUUUGGACCCACAACCAAUGGCCUGCGUCCGCCCCACACCUGUUUUCAUUCAGAUGUAACAUUCUGUUCUGUAAUUGGCUGCAUCCCCCCUGGGGUUCAGUGAGUGCAGUGGGAUGUUCCACUACUGCUAACAAAAUCCCUGAGUCAGACAUGGUCUCUUUAAGUGCUUUGUGUGAGUUGAAGUAUACGUGCCAUUGGGGUAUUAUCUUUAGGAGUGGUUUGGACUGACCGACUUUUGCUCCCUGAGUGUCUGAGGUAACUGAGUAUUUGUAUUGAUCGCUAGCUUGUAUGUUAGGGUCUGUUGAUCCAACAUUUAUCUGACGCUUCACUGUUCACUGUUGUCUGAUGGAGUUUCUCCUUUUGCGUCCAAACUUUAGGCCACCAGGACUCAAGCGAGGCCCCGCUGGUACUGGAAGAAUACGGUAUCAUAUCAGUGUCAGGUUUACGUCUAUGGACUUCAUUGUAGGGGACAGUUUGAUCCUGAACUGAUGGCGUCUAAAUAUGUUUGACUUUGGGUGCCCCCCCCCCAAAAAACCAUAACGAGACAGAACCGAGCUAAAGAUUAACCAGGCCAGUGGUG
rnacentral:lncRNA from 1 species